rnacentral:rRNA from 1 species
UUGAACGCUGGCGGCAUGCUUUACACAUGCAAGUCGAACGGCAGCGGGGGCUUCGGCCUGCCGGCGAGUGGCGAACGGGUGAGUAAUGCAUCGGAACGUACCCAGUCGUGGGGGAUAACUACGCGAAAGCGUGGCUAAUACCGCAUACGCCCUGAGGGGGAAAGCGGGGGACCUUCGGGCCUCGCGCGAUUGGAGCGGCUGAUGUCGGCUUAGCUGGUUGUUGGGGUAAAGGCCUACCAAGGCGACGAUCGAUAGCUGGUCUGAGAGGACGACCAGCCACACUGGAACGGAGACACGGUCCAGACGCCUACGGGAGGCAGCAGUGGGGAAUUUUGGACAAUGGGGGCAACCCUGAUCCAGCCAUGCCGCGUGAGUGAAGAAGGCCUUCGGGUUGUAAAGCUCUUUCGGCAGGAACGAAACGGUGCGGGCCAAUACCCCGCAGCAAUGACGGUACCUGAAGAAGAAGCACCGGCUAACUACGU